AACGAACGCUGGCGGCAUGCCUAACACAUGCAAGUCGAACGAGACCUUCGGGUCUAGUGGCGCACGGGUGCGUAACGCGUGGGAACCUGCCCUUAGGUUCGGAAUAACUCCCCGAAAGGGGUGCUAAUACCGGAUAAUGUCUUCGGACCAAAGAUUUAUCGCCUUUGGAUGGGCCCGCGUUGGAUUAGCUAGUUGGUAGGGUAAAAGCCUACCAAGGCGACGAUCCAUAGCUGGUCUGAGAGGAUGAUCAGCCACACUGGGACUGAGACACGGCCCAGACUCCUACGGGAGGCAGCAGUGGGGAAUAUUGGACAAUGGGCGAAAGCCUGAUCCAGCAGUGCCGCGUGAGUGAUGAGGGCCUUAGGGUUGUAAAGCUCUUUUACCCGGGAUGAUAAUGACAGUGCCGGGAGAAUAAGAUCCGGCUAACUCCGUG
rnacentral:rRNA from 1 species